rnacentral:rRNA from 1 species
CCUACGGGGGGCAGCAGUGAGGAAUAUUGGUCAAUGGGCGAGAGCCUGAACCAGCCAAGUCGCGUGAGGGAGUACUGCCCUAUGGGUUGUAAACCUCUUUUGUCGGGGAGCAAAAGCCGGACGUGUCCGGCUGUGAGAGUACCCGAAGAAAAAGCAUCGGCUAACCCCGUGCCAGCAGCCGCGGUAAUACGGAGGAUGCGAGCGUUAUCCGGAUUUAUUGGGUUAAAAGGGUGCGCAGGCGGAUUUUUAAGUCAGCGGUAAAAUCGUGGGGCUCAACCCCAUCCAGCCGUUGAAACUGGGGAUCUAGAGUGUGCGAGAGGUAUGCGGAAUGCGUGGUGUAGCGGUGAAAUGCAUAGAUAUCACGCAGAACCCCGAUUGCGAAGGCAGCAUACCGGUGCACAACUGACGCUCAGGCACGAAAGCGUGGGUAUCGAACAGGAUUAGAUACCCGGGUAGUC